UACAGAGGUCCCGAGCGUUGUUCGGAUUCAUUGGGCGUAAAGGGUGCGUAGGCGGCGGGGUAAGUUUGAUGUGAAAUCCCGGGGCUCAACCCUGGAAUUGCAUUGAAUACUACCUUGCUAGAGUACCGGAGAGGAAACUGGAAUUUACGGUGUAGCAGUGAAAUGCGUAGAGAUCGUAAGGAAGACCAGUGGCGAAGGCGAGUUUCUGGACAGUUCCUGACGCUGAGGCACGAAGGUCAGGGGAGCAAACGGGG
rnacentral:rRNA from 1 species